ensembl:lncRNA
AGAAAAAGAGGAAUAAAAGGAAAGGAAAAGUCUGUUGUAACCUUGCUGUUAGUGGCUGGACAGGAAGGUGCAGAGCUGUGAUGGGUGGCAGUGAGCUGGAAACAGCCAAGCCAGCCAGUGAGGAUGUCUUGAUCUGCUCCAGGCUGGUUCUGAGCACCCAGAGGGACAAAAUUCAUUGCAGGGAGCCAGGGAGGUUUGGCAAAGCCCUGGUACAACCUGGAAGCAACUCACGUUACCUUGCCAUCAGAGUCCUGAGAUGUUUGUCAGAGCCUCUAACCAAGUCUCAAACCCCUUUAUGGCUGGUGGGGGGAAGGAUGGAGUGGGCAGUUUUCACUGACCUAGUCAAAAGCAUCUAGGGCACACAUACACAUGUAAGAAAACACAAAAGGAGGUCAGCACAUGCAUCUCUCCUGCAUCCAAAGAGGAACUCCCUCCAGGAUGUCAUACAAGGUAUAAGUGUGUCCACAGGGUUGGAGAAAGCAUGUGGCAUAGAAUCAUAGAGGCUGAUAAAAGACCACUAAAUCAUCUGGUCCAUCCAUCGACCCAGCACCAUGCAAAACAUGUCAUUGGUGCCCUGUUAUCAGGGCUCCAAGCACAUUGAUUCAGACAUCAGGAAGACACUGAUGUGCCAGGUUAUGGGAACUGCACAGUAAAUUUGAUUCAAGCCAUGUCAAGUUCAUAAGACUGAAAUUCAGAUUGGGAAAUAUCACAAAAUGUCAAGCUUCUUGGAAGGCAAACGUGUCUGUGAAAAUCAAAGCCAGGAACAACCCAAAGCAGUGGAAAUUCCAGUUGAAAAUGUGAGACUGGUUCCCCGCUUUUUGUUGACAGUCUGAUUUUGGAAAAGAACAAUUAGUGUAAUAGGUUUUGGGAGCUACUGAGCCAGAAACUGAGAAAAAUGGAAACCAAGAGAAACAGCUGAAAUAUCUUCUCAUUCUCAUUUAGAUUGUGGUUAGAACAGCUGAAUGGCUGUUUUUUCUGGUCCACUUGUGUAACACUGAAAAGUGGGGAGGGGAGGAAUUGUCCCAAGUCGACCUCAUGGAACAAAGGAAAAAAACCGUGGGACAAAAAAAUAAAAGGAGAAAAGAAAAAAGAUUUUCCUUGGAGAACUGAGAAGUGUGCAGCGUUUUCUGGUGAGACUAAUCGAUGGCUUUGCUCAACCCCAAAAUCAGAUUAUUUGUUUUCUUUACAGGCUAUUUUUAGAGGGGAGGCAGAGGAAUAUACUUGGUUGGAUAGGGAAAAUUCAAGGAUAUUCCAGGAAGGAAAAACAACAACUUUGGAUUGAAAAGUAGAAUUUUUCAGAGGAUUUUGUAAGGAAAUGUUUCAAAUUUAUAUUAAUAAAAAAAAAGGGGGGGGAGAGGGAGAUAAAGCUUUCUAGCUCAAACAUACUGAAAUACUGCUUAUUUCCACCCCCCCACCCCCCUUCUUUUGGCAACUCUGUUUUCAUGCAAUAAUAAUAAUAAUAAUAAUGAUAAAGGCAUUUGAAAUAAGUUCG